AAAUUGAAGAGUUUGAUCAUGGCUCAGAUUGAACGCUGGCGGCAGGCCUAACACAUGCAAGUCGAACGGUAACAGGAAGCAGCUUGCUGCUUUGCUGACGAGUGGCGGACGGGUGAGUAAUGUCUGGGAAACUGCCUGAUGGAGGGGGAUAACUACUGGAAACGGUGGCUAAUACCGCAUAACGUCGCAAGACCAAAGAGGGGGACCUUCGGGCCUCUUGCCAUCAGAUGUGCC
rnacentral:rRNA from 7 species